AGUGAACGCUGGCGGUAGGCCUAACACAUGCAAGUCGAACGGCAGCACAGGAGAGCUUGCUCUCUGGGUGGCGGGUGGCGGACGGGUGAGGAAUACAUCGGAAUCUACUUUUUCGUGGGGGAUAACGUAGGGAAACUUACGCUAAUACCGCAUACGACCUACGGGUGAAAGCAGGGGAUCUUCGGACCUUGCGCGAUAGAAUGAGCCGAUGUCGGAUUAGCUAGUUGGCGGGGUAAAGGCCCACCAAGGCGACGAUCCGUAGCUGGUCUGAGAGGAUGAUCAGCCACACUGGAACUGAGACACGGUCCAGACUCCUACGGGAGGCAGCAGUGGGGAAUAUUGGACAAUGGGCGCAAGCCUGAUCCAGCCAUACCGCGUGGGUGAAGAAGGCCUUCGGGUUGUAAAGCCCUUUUGUUGGGAAAGAAAUCCAGCUGGUUAAUACCCGGUUGGGAUGACGGUACCGUAAGAAUAAGCACCGGCUAACUACGUGCCAGCCGCCGCGGUAA
rnacentral:rRNA from 1 species